rnacentral:rRNA from 1 species
UACGUAGGGGGCUAGCGUUGUCCGGAUUUAUUGGGCGUAAAGAGCGUGUAGGCGGCCAUGUAGGUCCGGUGUGAAAACUCGAGGCUUAACCUCGAGAUGUCAUCGGAAACCAUUUGGCUAGAGUCCGGAAGAGGAGAGUGGAAUUCCUGGUGUAGCGGUGAAAUGCGCAGAUAUCAGGAAGAACACCAAUGGCGAAAGCAGCUCUCUGGGACGGUACUGACGCUGAGGCGCGAAAGCCAGGGGAGCGAACGGG